rnacentral:rRNA from 1 species
GUCCACCGCGCUUCACACCACGAGUAUUUGUCACACCCGUAACUCGGUGGGGAUAACCUUUUACGGGCCAUCCGCCUGAGGUGGGACAGAUGAUUGGGGUGAAGUCGUAACAAGGGUAACCGAUAGAAUUCCCCGUGUAGCGGUGAAAUGCGUAGAUAUGUGGGAGGGAACACCCAGUGGGCGAAGGCGACUUUUCUGGGUCUGUAACUGACGCUGAAGCCGCGAAAGCGUGGGGGGAGCAAACAGGGAUUUAGAUACCCCUGGGUAGUCCCACCGCCCGUAAAACGAUGGAGUUGCUUAAAGUGUUUAGGGGGGGUUUCCCGCCCCCUUUAGUGGCU